rnacentral:lncRNA from 1 species
CUCGGAGGCCUGCUUGAGGAAGAACUCCUGCGCCUUGUCAUUGCGGCCGGUCUGCACGGUAUGGACGAGGUAGUAUCGAUACAGGCUGGUUUUCAGCUUGUUCACCGUCGGUCGGUACAUGUCUUCCAGCCGGCUGAAGAGGCGGCGGUCCAGGUAGCCCCAGUAGUCCCGCAGCGCGGCCAGGUCAUAGCUCUGCACGAACUGCUGCAGCUGCUCCACGAUCUUAUCCACCCGGAAGCCCUUCUCUCGGUCCGCCUUGAUCUCCGCGUCCAGCUGCUUCAGGGCGGCGGUGAAGCCGCGGAACAGCAGAUACUCGCGCACCAGCUCGUCCGUCCGCUCCGUCGCCGCCGCCAUGGGGCCCAGCGGCGC